AGCAGUCUACUGAAACACCAUGGGUCAGGUUUUUGGACCAAUCCCGGCUUGACUGCUCACCAACCUGAUUUUUACCGUAGUGAGGUGAAAGAUUAUGCUGAUGCUCCACCGUAAGAACCUGGAGAUCUUCACUGGUUCUGAGGGAGGUGACGUGGCCACAAACAGUGCCUGGGACACCUUCAGCUCUACCGCUGUCUAGAGAACAGUCGGAGGGUGGUCAAGACAUCUGCCACAACUUUGUGUCAGCUCUGCUUCACCUGGGAGCUAAAGGUACAAACGAGCAGUAGAUUUCAACACAGAUUCAACCACAAAGACCAGGGAGGUUUAUCAAUGCCUCACAAAGAAGGGCCACUAUUGGUAGAUUUGCAAUAAGGCACUAAAGUAAAACUGCAAAACAUUUGGCAAAUAAAUUAUCCUUAUGUCCUGAGUACAGAGUACCACUCUUCAUUAUUUCAAGCAUGGAGGUGGCUGCAAAUGGUUUGGGUAUGCUUGACAUUGGCAAGGACUAGGGAGUUUUUUUAGGAUAAAAAUAAACAGAAUUGACCUAAGCACAGGCCAAAACCUAGAGGAAUAACUGGUUCAGUUUGCUUUCUAACAAACAUUGGAGACAAAUUCACCUUUCAGCAGGACAACAAC
rnacentral:lncRNA from 1 species